UACGUAGGGGGCAAGCGUUGUCCGGAUUUAUUGGGCGUAAAGAGCGUGUAGGCGGCCUGGUAGGUCAGCUGUGAAAACUCGAGGCUCAACCUCGAGACGCCGGUUGAAACCAUCAGGCUAGAGUCCGGAAGAGGAGAGUGGAAUUCCAGGUGUAGCGGUGAAAUGCGCAGAUAUCUGGAGGAACACCGGUGGCGAAGGCGGCGUCCUGGACCAAUUCUGACACUGAGGAGCGAAAGCCAGGGGAGCAAACGGG
rnacentral:rRNA from 1 species